rnacentral:rRNA from 1 species
UACGUAGGGUGCAAGCGUUAAUCGGAAUUACUGGGCGUAAAGCGUGCGCAGGCGGUUGUGCAAGACAGAUGUGAAAUCCCCGGGCUCAACCCGUGGGAAUUGCAUUUGGUGACUGCACGGCUAGAGUGUGUCAGAGGGGGGUAGGAAUUCCACGUGUGAGCAGUGAAAUGCGUAGAGAUGUGGAGGAAUACCGAUGGCGAAGGCAGCCCCCUGGGAUAACACUGACGCUCAUGCACGAAAGCGUGGGAGC